rnacentral:rRNA from 1 species
AAAUUCUAUAGGUACAGGAUGGGCCCGCGUCUGAUUAGCCAGUUGGCAGGGUAACGGCCUACCAAAGCGACGAUCAGUAGCCGGCUUGAGAGAGUGAACGGCCACAUUGGGACUGAGACACGGCCCAAACUCCUACGGAAGGCAGCAG